AAGGGUGUAGCCAAAUCGGUAACGGCACUUGGUUUUGGACCAAGCAUGUGUAGGUUCGAGUCCUACCACCCCUG